AUUGAACGCUGGCGGCAUGCCUUACACAUGCAAGUCGAACGGUAGAGUAGCAAUACUCGAGAGUGGCGAACGGGUGAGUAAUAUAUCGGAACGUGUCCAAUCGUGGGGGAUAACGUAGAGAAAUUUACGCUAAUACCGCAUACGAUCUAAGGAUGAAAGCGGGGGAUCGCAAGACCUCGCGCGAUUGGAGCGGCUGAUAU
rnacentral:rRNA from 1 species